rnacentral:rRNA from 1 species
GACGAAGGAUGCAAGCGUUAUCCGGAUUCAUUGGGCUUAAAGGGAGCGUAGGUGGCCUUGUAAGUCAGUGGUGAAAUCUCUCGGCUUAACUGAGAAAUUGCCAUUGAUACUGCAGGGCUUGAGUACAGAUGCCGUUGGCGGAAUAUGACAUGUAGUGGUGAAAUACAUAGAUAUCGGGAGGAACACCGGUGGCGAAGGCGGCGACCUGGGUCGAUACUGACGCUGAGGUGCGAAAGCGUGGGGAGCAAACAGG